UUAAGUUCAGCGGGUAUUCCUACCUGAUCCGAGGUCAACCUUAAAAAUUGGUUAAAAAGACCGGGUUAAAAGGCCACUAUCAUGCGUGCUAAUUAAAGCUCGUUGCAUCUAGGGUUCUAAUAACACCGCCAUUAUCUUUGGGACCUGUCUUUUAACGACAAGAGGUCCAACAGCAAGCCGGGCUUGAUUAGUGAUAAUGA
rnacentral:misc_RNA from 1 species